rnacentral:rRNA from 1 species
UGGGGAAUUUUGGACAAUGGGCGAAAGCCUGAUCCAGCAAUGCCGCGUGUGUGAAGAAGGCCUUCGGGUUGUAAAGCACUUUUGUCCGGAAAGAAAUCCUUGGCUCUAAUACAGUCGGGGGAUGACGGUACCGGAAGAAUAAGCACCGGCUAACUACGUGCCAGCAGCCGCGGUAAUACGUAGGGUGCAAGCGUUAAUCGGAAUUACUGGGCGUAAAGCGUGCGCAGGCGGUUUGCUAAGACCGAUGUGAAAUCCCCGGGCUCAACCUGGGAACUGCAUUGGUGACUGGCAGGCUAGAGUAUGGCAGAGGGGGGUAGAAUUCCACGUGUAGCAGUGAAAUGCGUAGAGAUGUGGAGGAAUACCGAUGGCGAAGGCAGCCCCCUGGGCCAAUACUGACGCUCAUGCACGAAAGCGUGGGGAGCAAACAGGAUUAGAUACCCUGGUAGUCCACGCCCUAAACGAUGUCAACUAGUUGUUGGGGAUUCAUUUCCUUAGUAACGUAGCUAACGCGUGAAGUUGACCGCCUGGGGAGUACGGUCGCAAGAUUAAAACUCAAAGGAAUUGAGC